CGCCUGCCCGGUGACCCUGGGUUAAACGGCCGCGGUAUUUUAACCGUGCGAAGGUAGCGCAAUCACUUGUCCUUUAAAUGAAGACCUGUAUGAAUGGCUAGACGAGGGCUUAACUGUCUCCUCCCCCCAGUCAAUGAAAUUGAUCUCCCCGUGCAGAAGCGGGGAUUCUCCCAUAAGACGAGAAGACCCUAUGGAGCUUUAGACACUAGACGGCCUACGUUAAGCUCCCUACUCUAAUGGGGAAAAGCAUUAUAGCCCCCGUCUCUCCUGUCUUCGGUUGGGGCGACCGCGGAGGACAAAAAGCCUCCAUGUGGACCGGGGUCACAGACCCCACAGCUGAGGGCUGCGGCCCCAAGCAACAGAAAAUCUGACCAAAAUGAUCCGGCAAAUUUGCCGAUUAACGGAACAAGUUACCCUAGGGAUAACAGCGCAAUCCUCUCCCAGAGUCCCUAUCGACGAGGGGGUUUACGACCUCGAUGUUGGAUCAGGACAUCCUAUUGGUGCAGCCGCUAAUAAGGGUUCGUUUGUUCAACGAUUAAAGUCCU
rnacentral:rRNA from 1 species